rnacentral:rRNA from 1 species
GAUGAACGCUAGCUACAGGCUUAACACAUGCAAGUCGAGGGGAAACGAUAUUGGAAGCUUGCUUCCGAUAGGCGUCGACCGGCGCACGGGUAAGUAACGCGUAUCCAACCUGCCCACCACUUGGGGAUAACCUUGCGAAAGUAAGACUAAUACCCAAUGACGUCUCUAGAAGACAUCUGAAAGAGAUUAAAGAUUUAUCGGUGAUGGAUGGGGAUGCGUCUGAUUAGCUUGUUGGCGGGGUAACGGCCCACCAAGGCGACGAUCAGUAGGGGUUCUGAGAGGAAGGUCCCCCACAUUGGAACUGAGACACGGUCCAAACUCCUACGGGAGGCAGCAGUGAGGAAUAUUGGUCAAUGGUCGAGAGCCUGAACCAGCCAAGUAGCGUGCAGGAUGACGGCCCGAUGGGUUGUAAACUGCUUUUAUAAGGGAAUAAAGUGAGUCUCGUGAGACUUUUUGCAUGUACCUUAUGAAUAAGGACCGGCUAAUUCCGUGCCAGCCGCCGCCGUAA